rnacentral:rRNA from 1 species
CCCUUAGAUGUUCUGGGCAGCACGCGCGCUACAAUGGUCUUCGCAAACGGAUGCAUUCUCGAAGGAGAAUGCCAAUCUUGGAAUCUAUGCCUUGGUCGGGACAGUUGCUUGCAAUUUUUCGACUCGAACCAGGAAUUCCUUGUAAGCGUGAUUCAUCACAUCACGAUGAAUACGUCCCUGCCCUUUGUACACACCGCCCGUCGCUCCUACCGAUCGAAGAGUUAGGUGAAUUGUUUUGAUCGAUAAGAUUUGACUAUGGUCAACUCUCGUUGUGAAAUUCUGUGAAUCUGACUGUUUAGAGGAAGGAAAAGUCGUAACA